GAGACAGCAGUAGCCGCGGUAAUACGAGGGGGGCAAGCGUUGUUCGGAAUUAUUGGGCGUAAAGGGUGCGUAGGCGGUUUGAUAAGUCAUCUGUGAAAUCUCUGGGCUCAACCCAGAGUCUGCAGGCGAAACUGUCGGGCUUGAGUAUGGGAGAGGUGAGUGGAAUUUCCGGUGUAGCGGUGAAAUGCGUAGAUAUCGGAAGGAACACCUGUGGCGAAAGCGGCUCACUGGACCAUAACUGACGCUGAUGCACGAAAGCUAGGGGAGCAAACAGGAUUAGAUACCCCAGUAGUCCCUGUCUCUUAUAC
rnacentral:rRNA from 1 species